AUAAUAUAUACGUAACUAUUACAAAACGUUUAGUAUUGUCACGUGAAUCUUUAAAAGAAUACGUAACUACGUAUUUCGAAUUAUUAUUAAAACUAGAUUGGAUUAGUGGUUGAAAAUUUGUAUAAAUCGUACUGGAAUCGUGAUCGUGCUGUGAAAGGAAACUAAAAUUCGUUUACGAAUACACUGUGUCGAAACAAUGAUUUUAUCGUGAUAAUCUAAGUUCAUAUAUAUCGUAACUGAAUCACGACUUGAUCGCUAAUAGAUAUAUAACCUCAAUUCGAAAGUACUGCAACUGACCAUAUUGCAACUAAAUUGGCAAUAUGAAUUAAACCUGAAUUGUGAAAUGAUUUUGCUGUUCUUUUUCUGUUCUCAAAAACAAAAACACGUUCUUUAAGAAGAAAAGCUUUUAAUUGAUUAAUAAGCAAACAUGCAUUUGUUAAUUAACGUCAAUCGAUUAACCAAGGCUUUCGAAAUAAAUAAAAAUUUUUUCUGCUAUGAAGAUUGAUUCAAAAAUUGAUUAUUUUUCCUCUAUGAGGAUUUUUAAUAUUGGAAAAAAAUAAAAUAAAUUAAUUUCUACGAUAUCAUUUAUUCGAUUUAUCUUUCAUUUUAAAAUUCUCGGUCGCUUCGAUUUGAAACUUACCGAUCAAUCAGUCCUUGACAGUAAUGCAGCCCGAAGAGACAAAAAGAGGGCGUGAGUGUGAGUGAUUCAGGAACGUUACAGUGAACAUGGAAGUGAUAAGGAUGAUAAUUUUCUUAAAUUAUUCUUAGAAUAACGAAAUACCAUUAGGAUUGAACGAUUAAUUUGAAAAAAUUCUGUUGUAAAGUGUAUAUAAUUGCAAACGAUAGAUAUAAAUGCCAAGGUCGUGUACGAUUUAUGUGUAUGCAAACAAAUAUACACAACUAAGAAACCGUAGCCACUGUGCAGAGAAUGAACGAAUAGAAGAAAAGAAUUAAAAAGAAAAACUUUCAAAUAAAAAUUUUUUCCUUUUUUUAGCUUUUUUAGACCAAGUAUAGAAUCACUUUCAUUUUUGCUUGUAUAUAUAUAUAUAUAUAUGUACAUAUAUAUGUAUAUAUGUACAUAUAUAUAUAUAUGUUCACAGUAAGAAUCAGGAAAGUGAAAAAAAGAGUGAUAGAAGGAGUGAAGGAGAGAAAGGCAAACGUGUAUCCCAGACUAAGAAAAGUGAAAUUCAGAAACAAGAAAAUACGCGUGGUAAGCCGCGAUAGAAUGUUUCACGUUCAGCUCAGAAGGAAGCUGCAAUCGCCAUUUUUCUGACCCGCCAUUUUUCUCUUUACAAUCUAAAUUCAAACAGUGUAAAGAAGUUUUCAAGCUAUUAGAAGGUGAAAACAAACAGAAUAGAACAAAGCAACAUAAACGUGAUUAGAAUAUUAUACUAUUCGAGGUUUUUGUAAAAUACAUUAAAUUUAAUUUUUAAAAGUAAAUUCAAGUAGAAGUAAAUUAAAAUAUUUUUUAAAUAAUUCAAUAUUUAAUUUAGUAUGAAGCGUAGUAAAAUUAAAAAUUUUUAAUAACAAAUCACUUUUUAAUAAUUUUAAUAUUUUUUUCUUUGUAUAUUACUUGAUAAAAUAAAAAUCAAGCUCAUAUUAAAUUUCAUUUCUUGAAAAACAUCACUUUAGAAUUUAUUGAAAGAUUUCUGAAGAAGAAUUUAAUUUUUAGACAUAGAUUUUAUUACUAAUGUUAUAAAUUAUUUAAAUUUAUAUAAUAUUGGAAAAAUUCAAAAAAGCAUGAUUUUAAACUCUCGAACAGUAUAAACCACGAAAGAUCCCUGGUUGUGAAAGUCUCGAGGACUUCUUUUAUCGUAUUUUCAACCAUAUCUUAAAUUGCCGAGUUGCAGCAAAAAAAGAUCUUAGAAUAUAGAAAUAUAAACGUUCGCAAGAGCAGUGCACAUAGAUAAUAAAUCAAAUAAUUUUCGGCUCUCGUCAAUCUCGUUUCUUUCGAAUUCGAGAAACGUACCUGCGGUUCCUCUAUUGCACACGUCAUUCGCGUAUUGCCUCCUGCACAUAUCUAAUCUGCAAUGCAACAACAAAAUUUCCUCUUUAUCAUGUGGAUUCACAACCCCUGUUUAUUUCAGACCACGUCACGGGACAAUUGUUGGAAACAUUCAUAUAUGUCUAAUCCAUUAUACGAUAUUUUGAUAAACAAUAUUAUAUAUAUUUUGUACUAUUGUGAGAUAAUUUUGUGAUAUAAUUUUUUAUAUACAUUUUCUAUUAAACCAUGUUAAUUUAUAAUAUAUAAUGAAUAAGGAUAUUUUUUGAUUUUGAAAUAUAUUAUGCACAAAGCUUGUUUUUUUUUUUUUUAAUUUUUUUGAAAAUAAUUAUCAUAGAAAGGAAAUGAACGAACUUUAUAUAUGAAUAAUGAAAAUAUAAAGUGACAUUUCGUAAUGCAAAUGAAAAUUUUAUAAAAAUUAUAUUUUUUUGAAAUUUUUGCAAGAUUUUAUAUAAAAUAAAUGAUUAAUGAUGUUGAUUCACGAAAAAUGAUAUUGAUAAUAAAGCAAAUAUCGUGAAGCUUUAUUACAUACCCUAUUCAAAAUUUCCUCGUUCAGCAUUGAGGACACGGCUUGCGGAAAGUGAUAGCGGUGGAUUUAUAAUAAAGCAAAUAUACUACUAGUAGCACGCGUGUAAAUAAUUACCAAUUAGCGAAUAUUGCAUCUCAGGUAUGAAUAGUUACAGAUUCUUGUUUUAAUAGUUUUAAACUGUUAUUUCUCGAAAUAAUAUGUAAGAAUAUCAUCUAUGUGUGUACGUAAUACAUAUGAGAAAAGUUUGUUGAGAAAAGUAGAGGUUAUGUACAUCGUAUUGUGAACAACGAAUUUGUGAACAAAAAAUUUGUAAAUUAAUUUUUCCCUUUAACGAAAUAUAUUUUUUUAUAUUAUCUUUUAUAUAUAUGUCUAUAAUGGGGUUUGUUAUUAAUGAUUCAAUGAUUUUAAAAAUUUACGUGAAAUUUUCCAUACUAUGUAUAUACAUGCUUAUUGAUGCUUUUUGAUUAAAAAGAAGGAUGCAUAAAUUUUAAUUUUUUAAUCUGAAUAAUUUCUAUGUUUGAUCAUAUUCACAAAUAAUCAUAUGAUGUAAUUGAGAUCGAUAAAAAGAAAGCCUGUAUGUUAUUGAUUAUACAUGAUUAGUAUACCAUUACCUUUUUAAGUUCAAUUCUAUUUUAUAAUUCGUUCCUACAAAAAUAAUAAUGAAUAUGCAAAAUGUUUAGCAAGCUCAAUUUUUUACUAAAAUGGCGUACACUAUUGAAUAAUUAUAAAUUAAAUGCUUUUCUUUUCAAAUACAAUAUUUACAGAAAAUUAAGUGAAAUUCUUUCUUGUUUAUUAAAAUUAAACUUUUAUUAUUAAAUUAUAUUGUAUUAUGUAUAUUGUGUUUUUUUCAUAUCAAGUAAAACUAAAUAUUUUAAUAUAUAUAGAUUUUCAUUUCAACAAAAAAGAAUAUCACUUUUGAGUUAACCUCCAUAAACGUACCAUCCCCAUUGAGUACGCCAUCUUGGCAAUGUGAAAAACUAAUAUACAUUCAAGCUAGAUGUGAAUACUAUACAAUGCUAAUUAGAUAAAAAGAUUUUAACAAAAAAAAAAAAAAAAAAAAAAAAAGAAAAGAAAAAAAAAUCGAAGAAAAGUAAAAAAGUUGAAAAAGAAAGCGUGAUCGCUAUGUAAUAAACCAUACCGGCAGUUCCCUUAGUGCAGCGGCCGCCUUUCCUACGACGGCACAUAUCAUACCUGUUUUGCGAAAUAAAAAUCAAACAGUAUGAAAUCACCAAAUCACUGCUGUGGUAAAAUGAUAAAAUAGCAUAAUGUCAGAGAUAUACUCAUUUUUUGAAAUUCGAUUGAAAUCGGCAUUCUACAAUAAUCUUUCAAAUACAUUUUUUUCAUAUUGUUACAUCAUUAUUUUUCUUUCGAGUUUCAUUAUUUUCCAAUUUUGGUUGUAAAUAAGAAUAAAAAGAAAAAAAACAGAAAUUGUUUAAAUGUAUUAUAUCGAUAUCAAAGGAUAUAAAAAAAGGAUACAAAGAGAAGGAUAUUAAAAAAAGGAGAGAGAGAGAAAAUUUAACAGAAUAGAAAUUUUUUUCGUAUGUUAAUCACGUGAAACGUAAAAGUUAAAUCGAAUUUAAAGAAAUGUGCACUCUUACUUUGUAACAGCGACAGCGAUGUCAUAAACCGGAAGUCGUCUCUCUCGGAAGAGAUAUUUCCCCAUGUCGGUCAACGCAGCUGCCGAAUCGAUUGCAUCUCGACCGACGCGAUUUCUUUCCAAAUAAGGCGUAGCAUCUCUUCCCUGAAUGAUAUCGUUUUAGCUAUACUGAUGCGAAUUUUUGGCCCUUUUAAUAAUUUGUACCUCAAGUCUACUCCAUUCCAAAAGGAAACGAAAUAUCUCUUGAUCUGUACAUUAUCACCACCGUGUAAUCUGAUACAAAAAAUAAAGAUUAAAUUAUAAACUUUUUUUAAACUUAUAUUAAAUUACGUAUUAAAUAUAGGUUAUAUUAAAUAAUAUAUUUUUUAUGGAAUUUAGAAAAUUUUGUGAUUUUAAUAAAUUUUUUUUAAAUUAAAUAAUCAAA